rnacentral:sRNA from 1 species
ACCAAACCUAAUGCUCUAUAAUCAGAAAUGCCCAAGACAUCUAAAGACUGACACUGUUUUCUUCAAAAGAGUCAACAAUGGAAUCCCCGUCAAAUCUUCAACAACAGCAUCCCCCCGUCUCUUCCUAAUACAUUGUUGCAAGCCCGGAUAUCUCAUACACGCAAUUUGGGCACCGGGCUGACCUAGGACUGUAGGUCUGCAAAGUUUUGGUCAAUCCCCCAAUACAGCCUUUUGCACUUUGACGCACGACGAGCAAUGAGGUGAAGACUAGAGGAAAACGGCACAAUGAAUUUAACCCUUCCAGUCUUGACAUCAUCGCAGCUUCAGAUCAUAGCCUAGUUGGGUUUAGAUUCAGACGCUUAUUAUUCGACCAUAAAGGUCCCCAGUCCAUGAAACACAAACGAAGAGACAACAAUGACGAAUGGUUCCAGCGCUGUAUGUAUGGGGUGCCUGAGGAUCAACAACUAUGCAUCAGGCAAAGGGGAAUGAACCUAUUUUCGAGCAGGAGUGCUUUGGCAAAGCCUUUUUCAAGUCUUAAUCGCCGGCGCCGCAAACGUAACAUGGAAACAUGAACAGAAGACCAUUUAGAAUAUAUAUAUGACUGCUCAUUCAUGACAACAAUCCUUUCCAUACGCACGGGACCGAAGGGUAUGGUGCAGCUUUCGGGAUGGUGUCUUUUUUUGGUUUGUGGGGGGGGAUAACAGACGGACAAGAGAGCAUAAGAGUCAAUGGAGAAGUCUAUGUAAGAGUCUCCCGGUUUAGCGCGAUCAGGGUGUCCCUCGUGUCUCAUACGAAGCAUUUCGUAAUCGAAUGGGUCCCUAGAAGCAGGCGUCUUGCGGCUGCUGGCGACAAGCACAAGGGGACCCAUGGGUAUGACUUCGAGAUGGAGUGCUUGAGUGGGGAGAAUAUUGGGAUCCGCUAUGGCCUUAUUAGGAACGGGCAAAGGUAUAGUGCUAACAGCUGAUGAACUUACGCCCAUACAUAACCCAGUCUUCCAAUUCCAGACACCCACAAACGCUGUAUUCUUGCGCUGCUCAUCGGCCAUUGCGACGGAAAACAGACCCUCAGGGGUAAUUGAGAAUGUACCAUAGCAUUCGUGGUUAUUGAGGAUUUGAAUCUCGAUGAACGGGAGGGCGCCUUCGGGAUGGGGAACAAGUUUGCAGAUGCCGUUCCAUGGAGGGUUAGUACCACGAGGAGGGAUGAGUUGGUAAAAGUAAGCUCUAAAAUAAGUUGAAGCAGUUGAUUUUUCAGUCCCCUUUGUGUACUAGAGGCCCUCUUCCCUACAUAAUUGGUCAACUCUGUCCAUGCAUGAAUUGAAU